UACGGAGGGGGGCUAGCGUUGUUCGGAAUUACUGGGCGUAAAGCGCACGUAGGCGGCUUUGUAAGUUAGAGGUGAAAGCCCAGGGCUUAACUCUGGAAUUGCCUUUAAGACUGCAUCGCUAGAAUCGUGGAGAGGUGAGUGGAAUUCCGAGUGUAGAGGUGAAAUUCGUAGAUAUUCGGAAGAACACCAGUGGCGAAGGCGACUCACUGGCCCGGUACUGACGCUGAGGCACGAAAGCGUGGGGAGCAAACAGG
rnacentral:rRNA from 1 species